UUGAAAGUUAGUUGAAAAUAGACCGUCUCUGGUUAAAUUAGUUCUACACCAAGCCUUUAGGUGGCAGUAAAACGAAUUGGCACAAUGCGAAUUCCACACACAAGCCACAAAGAAGCCAUCAGCCGCGGUCAACAGCACCUUCCUGAUUGAACAGAACCACGCGUUGUCUGUGUGGUUUACAAGUUUCUUGGCGAUAUGGGGGGAAAGUUCCUCACAUACCAACGGAAAAUGGGCUUCAUAUACAUGCUGCUGUCUCAUAAUAUGGCGAAGACGAGUCACCUGAAGGCCUAACUCGCCAUAGAAGACUGAAAGAAUUGUCCUGCAGGAUGCUGUGUCCUGCAAUCCUGUGUGCUGUGCUACAGACGCGUGUGGAGGUCAACCCAAAAUGGGCACAGUCUCACCACAGAAGAGUGAAAGAGGAUCCUGGCAGGGAGACGGUAGUGUCCUGCAGAAUGGUGAUGGGCCAAUCUUACAAGAGACCACAGAAAACUGAUAUAGUGAACUAUAGAAACAACAGUGCCUGCUGCAGUAUAACGAGGACACCCUGAGCAGAGAGCUCCAAUAGACCCAGGUCCAGUGUCUUGGCAGGGUGAAAUGGCACUGAUAUGGUGUCCUGCAGGAUGCUGUGUCCUGCAAUCCUGUGUGCUGUGCUACAGACGCGUGUGGAGGUCAACCCAAAAUGGGCACAGUCUCACCACAGAAGAGUGAAAGAGGCUCCCAGAAGUGAGACUGAGUGCCUGUUGCAGUAUGACGAGGACGCAGUGACCAGAGACCUUCAGUAGACCCUGCUGGCAUGAUUGGCGUCUGAAGAACAUGAAAUCAACAGCAAUGUUUAUAAUGUUGUACAUACCUGUAUAGUCUGUAUUAAAAGGCAGUACCUGUA